GAAAAUGCAACCACUGCGCGUAGACUAUAUGAUAUCAAAUAUCUAUAUGUGUAUAUUUUUUAUGUAAAAGAAACUACUAUAAGUCAAAGAACCAAGAGUUUCUAGAACAACAAUGAGAUACAAAUUUUUUUUUUUUUUUUAAACAGCCUAGACUUGGAAAUUGAUGCUUACUUUGAGAUGAAGUCAAACUUAUUUUACAAUGAGUCAUAGAUAACUGUUUAUCUGUGGUCUUCUCGAUAUCGACGUUUAUCCUUACAGCACACGCUUUUUCAUAUAUAUCAUCGAUUAAUUUCUUAGAAGCUUCUUCUUAAUUCUAAGUUCUAACUAACUGCAUGCACUUUCUA
rnacentral:lncRNA from 1 species